rnacentral:lncRNA from 1 species
CAAAAUAGUGGCGAGUACAUGAGUGAAAGUGACAUAAAUAGCAAGAUUGGACAUGGUGACAGUGUUCUCCAAUCUUUCACGUAGAGCCCAUAAAUAUAACCCUAGCCUAAACUAAACUUACCGUAUUCAAAUUAAAAGGAAAAAAAAUAAAAACUCAAAGCUAUAUUAAUACAUGUAACAUGGAGGAAAACACACACAUAUAUAUACACUUUAAGCAGAGUGUCCCCUUCUCCUUUAUUUUCUAUAUCCCCUUUGUAUAUUUGAUGAACACAAGGAAGCCAUAACAAAAGAAUAAGAAAAGAUCGUAGUCACCCAAAAAAUAAAAACUAUCCACAAUGUAUUUCGGUUGAAGAUAUCCUCUUUUCUUCUCAAUUAUAUAACCAUGUAAUGGAAGAGAAAGGAAUACAAAAUACAAGUAUAUUGCCAACACUACUCCUAAAAUGCUAGGCUGCCAUAAAGCCCUAUGAAACUCUAACAAAACUAAAGGGAGAAUAAAAGAAAUAAUAUCUUAUUUUCAUUGAUACUAUUUAUUAACUAUAUGCCUAGGUCAUGUUUUCUGUAUCACAGCUCUAUGAUAUGCAACUUUAGUUCAAAUCAAUGCAUGUGACUGAUUUCAAUCAUCUCGAUUGAGACCAGGGUGUAUAGUUUUUCUUCCAAAUAAAUAAAGUUUCUUAAUUUCUUGGACUAUGGAUCCCUCCCUUGCCGCACAUCCUUGAUCCCACUUUGAUAGUGUUAGAGUGAGUAUAUUUGAAACACUAAGAAGGAACCUUUUCAUAUAUAAAGUGUAACCAUAAAACUCUAAAACUAAGAAGAACAAGAAAGGAAGGAAGCGAAGGCUUCCACUGGAAUAUUUGAGCAACAUCCUUGAUUAGUAAAACACCUUAAAGGAAACCAAAAUAACAGAAGGAGAGAGGUCGCCAAAUUAGGAUAUCAAAACACUACGAAGAUAAAAGUAACA